ACUUGAUUCGUCUUAGUUUCCAUUCCACGGGUCGACGUAAAGAUCGACUUCAAAGGUUAUAGUUUAGUUUACGAAACGAUAGGGUUAGAGGCACGAAGUAGCUCGACUGAUUGAUAAGGAGAGGAUUGAAGAAGCUCAACUUCAAAGGCGUUGUAGAAGCGAAAUCUUUCUAGGAGCCUAGUAACUCGACUGAUAAUCCGGGAAGACUGAGUUGGAGGGUUGGUAUCUCGACUAACAAGUAAGAAGGAGAGGUGGUAGGACGGCAAGGGUAUGAAAUAGGUGAAGCCUUUCUCCUAACUCUCGGGGCGAAGAGUGACAAGUAGAGAAGAAGCUCAACUGAGUUGUGUAGGCACGGAAGUCACUCAAUUAACAAGUUCCGGUACGAAGGUUGGUUAGGCUCAAGUGGAUUGGAACUGAGAUUGGGUAAGCCGACUGUACUUUCAUAUUCAUAGCUGGUAGCGGAACUCCACCAAUAGAUCUCCCCGCGGUCCCCUCUCCGGACUCAUUCACAUGCCAGGCUUUCAGCCCCGAUUCCCCUAGUUUGGUUCUGAUCUCACGAUUCUAUUAGCAGAGAUCUAAGUCUAUCUCUUUCUCUAGCCUGGAGUCGAAAGAUUUAUCUUGCCCAAACAAAUAUAGUUUAGUGGUAAGGAACUCUGUUGACUCUGCUCGCUUCGCUCAUGGGCUAGCCCGCUUACUCCUAAGAGCCCGGAAAGGUGGGCUUCACCUUUAUCACUUCUGUAGCCUUCUAAGGCGAGGCCACCCUAUAUCUAUUCAGGUAUGGGGUGGAGAAGGAGAGUGGGUAUGAGGGCUCCUUCUACCAGAAAG
rnacentral:misc_RNA from 1 species